rnacentral:rRNA from 1 species
AUUGAACGCUGGCGGCAGGCUUAACACAUGCAAGUCGAGCGAGCGGCGGACGGGUGAGUAAUGUCUGGGACACUGCCUGAUGGAGGGGGAUAACUAUUGGAAACGGUAGUUAAAACCGCAAUGCAUCAGAGGUGCCCAGAUGGGAUUAGCUAGUAGGUUGGGUAAUGGCUCUCCUAGGCGACGAUCCCUAGCUGGCCUGGGAGGAUGAACGGCCGAACGGGAACUGAGACACGGUCCAGACUCCUACGGGCGGCAGCGGUGGGGAAUAUUGGGCAAUGGGCUAAUGCCUGAAGCAGCGAUGCCGCGUGGGUGAGGAGGGGCUGCGGGUUGUAAAGCUCUAUCAUCGGUGAGGCGUUACUCGCAUAAGAAGCACCGGCUAACUCCGUGCCAGCAGCCGCGGUAAUAC